AGAGUUUGAUCCUGGCUCAGGAUGAACGCUGGCGGCGUGCUUAAGACAGGCAAGUCGAACGAAGAGUUUUGUAGCAAUACGGGACUCUUAGUGGCGAAUGGGUGCAUAACACGUAGGUGACCUGCCCUGAAGUGGGUGAAUAACAGUUCGAAAGGACUGCUAAUACCGCAUGUGGUCCUGGAGGUUAGAGGCUCCAGGUCUAAAGCUUCCCGCAAGGGAGGCGCUUCAGGAGGGGCCUGCGGUCCAUCAGCUCGUUGGUAGGGUAAUGGCCUACCAAGGCUACUACGGAUAGGGGACCUGAGAGGGUGGCCCCCCACACUGGCACUGACACACGGGCCAGACUCCUACGGGAGGCAGCCGUCGGGAAUAUUGCACAAUGAGCGAAAGCUUGAUGCAGCAACGCCGCGUGCGCGAUGAAGGUCUUCGGAUCGUAAAGCGCUUUUCGGGGGGAUGAGGAAGGACAGUACCCCCGGAAUAAGUCACGGCUAACUACGUGCCAGCAGCCGCGGUAAAACGUAGGUGGCGAGCGUUAUCCGGAUUUACUGGGCGUAAAGCGUGUUCAGGCGGUUUGGAAAGUCGGGCAUGAAAUCUCUUGGCUCAACCAGGAGAGGCUGUCCGAUACUUCCAGACUUGAGGGCAACAGAGGGCGGUGGAAUUCCGGGUGUAGUGGUAAAAUGCGUAGAUAUCCGGAGGAACACCAGUGGCGAAGGCGGCCGCCUGGGUUGCCCCUGACGCUAAAACACGAAGGCUAGGGCAGAGAACGGGAUUAGAAACCCCGGUAUUCCUAGCAGUAAACGAUGUUGACUAGGUGUCGGGAGUGUAAAAACUCUCGGUGUCGUAGCUAACGCGUUAAGUCAACCGCCUGGGGACUACGGCCGCAAGGUUAAAACUCAAAGGAAUUGACGGGGACCCGCACAAGCAGCGGAGCGUGUGGUUUAAUUCGAGCCUACGCGAAGAACCUUACCAGGGAUUGACAUGUACGUAGUAGUGAAGCGAAAGCGGAACGACCCGCAAGGGAGCGUACACAGGUGAUGCAUGGCUGUCGUCAGCUCGUGCCGUGAGGUGUUUGGUUAAGUCCAAUAACGAGCGCAACCCUUAUCGUCAGUUACAAGUGUCUGGCGAGACUGCCGGUAUUAAGCCGGAGGAAGGUGGGGAUGACGUCAAGUCAGCAUGUCCUUUAUACCCUGGGCUACACACACGCUACAAUGGCCGGUACAAUGGGGUGCUAAGCCGUGAGGCGGAGCCAAUCCUAAAAAGUCGGUCUCAGUUCGGAUUGCAGGCUGCAACUCGCCUGCAUGAAGUCGGAGUUGCUAGUAACUGCAGGACAGCUAUACUGCAGUGAAUACGUUCCCGGGUCUUGUACACACCGCCCGUCACGUCAUGGGAGCUGGCAACACCUGAAGCCGGUGAGCUAACCGCAAGGGGGCAGCCGUCGAAGGUGGGGUUGGUGACUGGGACGAAGUCGUAACAAGGUA
rnacentral:rRNA from 1 species